GUAGAGAUAAACUAAAAAAGUUGUUUGGUUCAUGCCCAAAAUAUAAGAUUUAAAAAAAUCUUUUUCUGCA
rnacentral:tRNA from 1 species